rnacentral:rRNA from 1 species
CAGUCGCCGCGGUAAUACGUAGGUGGCAAGCGUUGUCCGGAAUUACUGGGCGUAAAGCGUGCGCAGGCGGUUGUGUAAGACAGGUGUGAAAUCCCCGGGCUUAACCUGGGAACUGCGCUUGUGACUGCACAGCUAGAGUAUGGCAGAGGGGGGUGGAAUUCCACGUGUGGCAGUGAAAUGCGUAGAGAUGUGGAGGAACACCGAUGGCGAAGGCAGCCCCCUGGGCCAAUACUGACGCUCAUGCACGAAAGCGUGGGGAGCAAACAGGAUUAGAUACCCCGGUAGUCCCUGUCUCUUAUAC